GUGGCACCCAACCCAAGAACUGCUGCUGCCUGUAGCAGCUGUUUAAAAAGUGGUGUACACAGCAAAGGGGCUUUGUCGCCUUUGGGGGGGGCUGUGCAGUGCCCCCCAGAGUGAAUCAGUAGGUUCUACAGUC
ensembl:snoRNA Gm22661 predicted gene, 22661